rnacentral:rRNA from 1 species
CGCGCAGGCGGCACACCAAGUACCCUAUGAAAUCUCCUUGCUCAACGGGGAGGGUGUGGGGUAGACUGGUGAGCUAGAGGACGGUAGAGGGGGGUAGAAUUGCUGGUGUAGCGGUGAAAUGCGUAGAGAUCAGCAGGAAUACCCGUGGCGAAGGCGGCCCCCUGGGCCGUUACUGACGCUGAGGCGCGAAGGCUAGGGGAGCGAACG